rnacentral:rRNA from 1 species
UACGUAGGUCCCGAGCGUUGUCCGGAUUUAUUGGGCGUAAAGCGAGCGCAGGUGGUUUAUUAAGUCUGGUGUAAAAGGCAGUGGCUCAACCAUUGUAUGCAUUGGAAACUGGUAGACUUGAGUGCAGGAGAGGAGAAUGGAAUUCCAUGUGUAGCGGUGAAAUGCGUAGAUAUAUGGAGGAACACCGGUGGCGAAAGCGGCUCUCUGGCCUGUAACUGACACUGAGGCUCGAAAGCGUAGGGAGCAAACAGG